AGUGAACGCUGGCGGUAGGCCUAACACAUGCAAGUCGAACGGCAGCACAGUAAGAGCUUGCUCUUACGGGUGGCGAGUGGCGGACGGGUGAGGAAUACAUCGGAAUCUACUUUUUCGUGGGGGAUAACGUAGGGAAACUUACGCUAAUACCGCAUACGACCUACGGGUGAAAGCAGGGGAUCUUCGGACCUUGCGCGAUUGAAUGAGCCGAUGUCGGAUUAGCUAGUUGGCGGGGUAAAGGCCCACCAAGGCGGCGAUCCGUAGCUGGUCUGAGAGGAUGAUCGGCCGCAUUGGAGCUGGAACACGGUCCAGGCUCCUGCGGGAGGCAGCAGAGGCGAAUGUUGGGCAGAGGUGGCAAGUCUUGCCCAGUGGUAGCACGUGGGUUGAAGCGACGUUGGGUUUGUAAUGCCGUUUUGUGGGGAGAGAAAAGCAGCAGGUUGAUACGCAGCUGUUCUGACGGUACCCGGAAAAUAAGCACCGGCUAACUUCGUG
rnacentral:rRNA from 1 species